AUCCAUCACUUGGGACUCAUCGGGGGCUCAUGUCUCAAAGACACAGUGAAGAACAUCAUGAAAAGGUGCAUGGCUUACACUCUUGCAGAGAAAUACUGCUUUACAGGUCGCAAAGGGAAGAAGGCCUUCAGAGAACUGAGGCUUCUCUCUGUCAUCAUUGCGGCUCUUCAGAAGUCGUACCCUAGGGCUACGGAAAGUGAGGUGCACCAUCUCAUAGCAGACCAUUUACGGUACGCCCCAGCAUGCUGCAAGAGACGCUCUCGUGUCUUGUCACGCGUGGCUAUGGAAGUUGAGGUGCCACCUCACCCCAGUGACUAUUAAAGAUAUCGUUUCCCUCUCUGAUGACCCCCACAAAGAAAUAAAGAGGCUGUUCAACUUGAUCAAGGAUGUGCAUACCCGUUCUUUUCAUGUAUCAAGUUUGAAGCUCAAAUAUUAAAAUGCUUUAAGAUUGGGCAGAAAAGCAUAUAUGCUAAAAUUAGUUGCAUAGACAAAAGAAUAGAAGUGCUUGAAUGAAGAACAAACACACUAGACAAAUGCAAGGAGUUCACAAUAAUCUGGAAACCACUUCAAGAGUCUAGCACUACGUAUGAAGUGUUGCACCUGAACUAAAUAACAAGACCAAUUACGUCACGGUAAUUUGAUCAGUUUUGGUCCAAUGACCAAGAAAGCUUGGCAACAAACUGAACAAAAGAUACCUGCAAGUUGUAACUUGGUUUCUGAAGGCUUCUUUUUCAAUCUAAUCAAGUGGGCCAUCAAAUGCGUCUCUGCGCCAAAUAAAUGUCAGUCAAUAGUUCAGUUGCUGUAAAGCUAAAAGAAGUUUCUUCUAUGUGGAACCCGUUUUAAACGAAAGAGCAUGACUAAGCGAAGGGUUUUUGCCUGCCACGUGCAUGUUGUCGGGAGAAGAUUUUUUAUUUUCGUAAAAGCCAGGCUUUUGAUACUUUUAAGCUCCAUCAGGAUAAGCUGUACCCAAAUGGAAAGUGGUAUCUUUUUAAUGUUGGUAUGCUGCCUCCGUUUGUGAAAUUGUGGUGUGGGACGAUAAAACAACAGUGGCAAUCAUGCAUCGUGUGCAAGAUGGGCAUCAUCAUAGGGAACAAGAUGAGUAACGGCUGUCUGCCAUCAUCAUGUCCUCCUGUAUGUAUUUAACACAAAGCAUUUUUCCCAGUCUUUUUUCCUCUCGCACAUGAAAAAGAAAAAAAACAAGCUGCCUUCAAAACUGAUAAGAGCUGUUUUGUGAAAUUUACAAAGAUUGUAUAACCAGGAUUUUUCUGCCUUUUCUGUCUGUUUUUAAUAACACAGCAGCUGACAUUGCAAGAAGCAUUUUUUAUGUUGCAAUAUUGUGUUUUGCUCAUAUUAAUUACUGUGUUUUUACCAUAUUUUUGUACUAGUCCCCUCUCUAGU
rnacentral:lncRNA from 1 species